UUUUAGCCCUGAUGGGAGCGACAUCCUUUUAUGCCAGUGUUUGGCAUAAAAGAUAAAGCGUACAGCAGGAAAAAAU
rnacentral:sRNA from 1 species